UGCUCACCUGGCGCUCUCCGCGCGGCUGGGCGUCCGCAUGCCCCUCCCCCUGGCGCGGCCUCGGGGCCGCCCCGUGGCCGUACAGGUGGGGAAAGCAGCGGUCGGGGGUCGGGCUAGCUGUGCCGCCUCCGCCUCCCCGCCACCCCCGGGGCCGAGCCGAUGAGAGCCCUUCAGGUCAGGCCCACCUGUCUCAUCAGCCUCUCUGGGCUCAGCAUCCCAGGUUUGUCGACAGCGGCCUCUGUCAUUGCUGCUCAAAGUGCCGAUCUGCAAGGAGGAGAGUUUGCACGGGAAUGGGAGUCUUCUGCAUCACAGCACACACUGUCAAGAGAGUCUGCAGCAGAUGUUGUGGAUCCUCGGCCAGAUCCCUUUAACCCACUGCUGUGAGUGUUCCUACCCACUUCUUUGAUGAAUCCUCCUUGGCCUACAGGGAGCUCCUGGCCAGAGAGACUAUACCUGCUCCCCACCAGGGGAAAUUGACUGACUUGGGGUACAGAGGCCACCCCUUGCCUCCAGGUAGGAACAGCUCUAGUGCAAUGCAGGGUCCAGGGCAGCUCAGGAGAUCAGGCAGAAGCUAGUCCUCAGCUGAGGCCACUUCUUGCUCAGCUUUUGCCUCCUGCCCUAGCUUGCUUUCCUCACUCCCCUUCUCCUUGGAGCGCUCCUUCCAUAAAUUACGUAUACAGGAACCCUUGUCUCAGCCUUGGCUUCCAGCAGUGACGGGAUUCACAGUCCUUGGCUCUCCUCAGAUUCUGCAAGUGGUUUAUGAUCCCAUUGUGGGUUGAAUCCUGGCCCCAAAAGAGGUAUGUCCACAUCCGAAUCCCUGAAACCUAUGAGUGUCACCUGAUUUGGGAAAAGGGUCUUUGCAGAUAUAAUGAAGGAUCUUGAGAUGAGAUAAUCCUGGAUUAGCCAGGUGGGCCCUCAAUCCAGUGACAAGUGUCCUUAAAGAGACACACACAGCGGAGGUGGCCCCGUGAGGACAGAGGCAGGGGCUGGAGUGGGAGCAGGUGACCACAAGCCAAGGAAGGCCUGGAGCCAGCAGAAGCUGCAAGAGGACGGGAAGGAUCCUCCCGUAGAGUCUGUGCAGGGAUCACGGUCCUGCCGCACCUUGAUGCCUGACUCUGGCCUCCAGGACUGUGAGAGAAGAAAUGUCUUGUUUCAAGCCCGCCCCCGGUUGCGAUCAUUUGUCUCGGCAACCACAGGACAUGAAUACCUUCAAAAGGUUAAAAAUUCCCUCUAGUUGUCGAAGCUGCAGUCCUGCCACGUGGAAGUAUGAGUGUGUGCCCGGGCCGGUGGCCCCCUGCCCCCCACGCACAUCACUGGCAUGUCCAGCUUCCCAUCCCCAGGCCCUUACAGGGCCGAGCUUACCAGGAGCCUGUGUGCUGCUGACGUGACGGUGCAUGGUGGCUGCUCUUCCGUCUAUGACAGGGAGUGUAGGGGACUUCUCAGGGCUGUGCUCACUGCCUUGGCCCACCCCCUCGUUCUUCUUGCUCCGAGAGAUACCGUAAAGGCCGAUUUUGUUUUCCUUAGGAUUUCCGGCAAACCACAGCAUGGUCUUCCUGACGGUAUUUUUCAGGAUUGUGUCAUGUUCCAGGAUUCAGCUAUGAUGAUGCUUUCCUUCCUCUACAUUUUAUCCAUCCUCUCAAAAAAUUAGCUCAACAGAGAGCUCAUGCUAGCACACUGGACUCCUCUGUUCCUUCCCUCUUUUUAUCUCCAUCAUGAUUAUUCAUGAUUGUAUAAUCAGGAUUUCUCUUUAGAAGCUCCUUACUUGAUAUUAGCUGACAGAACAAAAGGUUCUUGAUUAAAUGGUGACUCUUUUCUGCUCACUGAAAGUCAAAAGCUAAUGAAGUACUUUGAUCAAAAUGAAUUUUGAUAUCCAUUCUAUGAAAAUAGCAAAAAAACUUCCAGGAGCAAUCAAAUGGCUGUGUGGACCGAUGCUUUCAGAGGUCCGGAACCAUCGAUCAGGAGGUCUGUUUCUGAACAAGGAACUGGAAAAGCCAGAUCUGCUCACGCCAGAGCACAGAUGGGAAGUAAAUGCCUUCUAGGGGCUCCUGGUUCACAGGAGUGCCCCUCCCCACCCCCGACCCUUGCAGCAGCUUUCUCAUUGUCUCCCUGUGCCCAGGUUUGUGAUCCCCAAAUCCCAGUUCCACCAGCCUCCAUGAUCUACCUACAACACAGAUUUCCAUGUGGCCUUCCCUGCUCCCCACUGUCUCCUGUAGGAUAGAGACCACGCUCCCCACACGCAGUCCCAGGCCUUCCAGAUGGGCCCUGCCUUCCCACAGAGUGUGCUCCCACCCCACUGCCUCUCACCUUUAUACCUCUGCACGUGCAGUCCCCUCCUCUGGCGUGCCCUUCCUCUGCCCUGACCAGAUCUCCCUGACCACUCAGCUCCAGUGUCAUGGCCAUUGGGAAGCCUUCUGGCCCUCACUGUGCUCCCAUAACACCCUGAGCCUAUUUUUGUCAUGGCGCUUACAUCAGAGUAUACAAUGAUCUAUUCUUGUGUCUGUCUCCCCAGCACUGAGUUCCCAGGGCAGGAAGUGCAUCUUGUAGAUCUCUGAGUCCCCAGAUCUAGAUCAGUGUGUGUCAAAUGAAGGAUGAAUGAAAUCUCUUGCCUCCUAGAAGGAGUAUCAGGGGCUCAGUCUCACCACCCUGAGAUCAUGACCUGAGCCGAAAUCAAGAGUUGGAUGCUUAACCAACUGAGCCACCUAAGCGCCCCCAUAUUCUGUAUUCUUUCAUUUACCCUGUAAAUUAUCUUGGAACGUUUGAUACUUAUGUUCUGUUUUGUUUUUUUUUAGAUUUUAUUUAUUUAUAUGACAGACAAGC